rnacentral:lncRNA from 1 species
AGGCCACUCCUGGAAGUUCUUCUGGACUUGGAUGCUGCCUGAGACUCACACUGAUGACACGUUGGGAAAAAGAGGGCCACCUGAGGAGCAAGCCUCUGGGAGAGAGUGCUGUGGCACCCACAGCAGCAGCACUCCUCCUAAGGAGAAGCUAAGAGCAACACAUAUAUCCAGUAACAGGAGAAUCAAGAAAUCAACUCCCACGGCAACAUGGCAUUCUUUGAGAAAGGAGUUACUGGAAGCACCAUUUUAUGGACGAAGAAACUGAGGCUUGGUCAUGUCUCCAGAGCCUGAGCUGAAGAGACCUGGUUUGUCAGACUCCAAACCCUACCCUGUUAUGUCAUUAUAAAAGGAGGUUUCUUGGUU